rnacentral:rRNA from 1 species
GACGUAGGGCGCGAGCGUUGUCCGGAUUUAUUGGGCGUAAAGAGCUCGUAGGCGGCUCGUUGCGUCGGCUGUGAAAACCCGCAGCUCAACUGUGGGCUUGCAGCUGAUACGGGCGGGCUUGGAUUCGGUAGGGGAGACGUGGAAUUCCUGGUGUAGCGGUGAAAUGCGCAGAUAUCAGGAGGAACACCGGUGGCGAAGGCGGGUCUCUGGGCCGAUAUCGACGCUGAGGAGCGAAAGCGUGGGGAGCAAACAGG